rnacentral:rRNA from 1 species
UAGGGAAUCUUCGGCAAUGGGGGCAACCCUGACCGAGCAACGCCGCGUGAGUGAAGAAGGUUUUCGGAUCGUAAAGCUCUGUUGUAAGAGAAGAACGUGUGUGAGAGUGGAAAGUUCACACAGUGACGGUAACUUACCAGAAAGGGACGGCUAACUACGUGCCAGCAGCCGCGGUAAUACGUAGGUCCCGAGCGUUGUCCGGAUUUAUUGGGCGUAAAGCGAGCGCAGGCGGUUUAAUAAGUCUGAAGUUAAAGGCAGUGGCUUAACCAUUGUUCGCUUUGGAAACUGGUAAACUUGAGUGCAGGAGGGGAGAGUGGAAUUCCAUGUGUAGCGGUGAAAUGCGUAGAUAUAUGGAGGAACACCGGUGGCGAAAGCGGCUCUCUGGUCUGUAACUGACGCUGAGGCUCGAAAGCGUGGGGAGCAAACAGG